UAGAUCUUUCUGUAUGAUGAUUGUGCAUUAUUCUUUCAGUGAAAAAUCCAAUGAAUGCCAACAGACCAUUUCUGGUUUGUUUGUCUAAACCCUCAGACCGAGGGAGUCUCAGUUUCCUACUCUUUGGAUAAAAGAAUGAAAAUUGACCAUCAUACAGUUCAAAGGUGCUAGAAAGAGAUGUAAGAAACAAUUUUUAACAUUUCACAUAAGGUGUUCUUUCUAAAUUCAUGAGGAGAAAUAUACAGAUAGGAAUCCUGAAAUUAUCGAAAAGAAGCUUGAUGGCACUUGAUAUGGAAAAUAUCCCUGUGCAUUCCCCAGUGUCUUUAAGUAAGGCUGGAAAAUCUCUUGUCAGAGAUCAUGAAGAACUGAACAGAAUCACAACAGAGACACUUCAAUGAAAUAAUGGUUGGACUUGAUACUGUUGGAAGGAAAAGAUCCGGUUCACUCUCUCCGGCGGGAAAGAGAAAGUCGGUACAAUGGACAAAAUGAGAAAAUGGGAAAGCGAGCUGCUUGGAAAGGAGGUUUCUUUAUUUCGGAAGCCAGAAACUGCAGAGACAACAGCGAUGGCUUCCUGGUCAGAUGGCAACCUGGUCUGGUUUGCAAGAUAAAAAUCCGAUGCAGCAGUCAAAAGUAUCUAGAGCUGUGUUCUCUGACCUGUAUCUUCUAAAUGUGUUAGACUGUAAUUUCCAUCAUUCCUCAGCCAAUAUGAGCAGAGAUUUGGUCCAAUCUGGGAACUUGUAAUACAACACAUCUUGAGAUCUUAUGAUUGGAGAAGAAUGAGUCAUUCUAGUGACUCAGGAAAAAGUAGACUUCAGUUGAUGGAAAAUAUUACAAAAAGAUGUAGACAAGAGCAUGAAGGAAAUAUCUAUGUAUAUCAAAGUGAAAUAUCAAAGUGAAAUAAGGAGACACAUUGAGAAUUAUAGAGUAUAUAGCCAGUUUGGACUAGCUCUGUAGACCCCUGGACUCCAGGGAACCCGUGGACUUUGUGGAUCCCGGGGGGGCUGCGAUGUCAUCACAGGGAUUCCACGAAGGCUUGAAGAAAUGUUAUGAUUUAAAUCUUCAAUUAAAUCUUGGGGAUCCAUGGCCAUGGUACAUGGCCACAAAAGGUAUUUAAAGGGAGUCCAUGGUGGAGAAAAGUUUGAGAACCACUGAUCAUAAGGUACCAGGGUAGAAAACUGGAGACUGUGAAUUCUAGUUCUGCCUUAGCCAUGAAAGCCAACUGAGUGAUUUUGGGCCAGUCGCUCUUCCUCAGUCCAACUGACUUCACAGGGUUGUGGCGAAAAUAGGAGGAGGAAGAUAUGCUGGUUGUUUGCUGCCUUCAGUUAUUUGUAAAAAUAAUAAAGAUAAAUAUUUUAUUAUAUUAUAUAUUAAUCAAUUAUUCUGGCUUUAUGCAGUAUUCUAAACUAAUCAAAUCAAUCCCUUUUUUCAUUUAGUGGAAGAAAAAUGAAGGCCAGCUUCCAGAGCUGACAGUUGUUUCUUAAAUAAGUUCUUUAACCCCAUUAUAUUUCAUGUAACAUAGAAAGGGAUACAAAAGAACCAUUUUACUCCGAAUCCCAUUAGAAUUCAGAAAAAUUCUAGAAUAUUGUCCUUUACAGCAAUGCCUCUUGAUUCACAGCUGGGCUCACAUUGUACCUUAAGCCAAGCCUGUAUAAAAUAAGAGCCAGUUUGGUCUGAUGGUUAAGCAUGAGGCUAGAAGCUGGGAGACUGUGAAUUCUAGUGCCACCUUAAGCACAAAGCCAGCUGGGUAACUUUGGACCAAUCACUCUCUCUCAGCCUUAAGGAGGAGACAAUGGCAAAUCCAAAAUCUCACCAAGAAACUUGCAAGACUGACUUGAAGGCACAAUAGCAAGUAAGAUAUGGGAUCCUGUUCUGCUCUAUUGAGUUACAGGGAUUAGAAGAGAAGAGACAGAUGUGUAAACUCUGAACCAGAAAAAAAAUAAUCAAGACACCAAAGAAUUUUCCAACCCCGUUUGUUGGUGAAAAGGCAGUAGAGUAGUCCUUUCCCAGCAAUCACUUGUUCAGGGAGCAUUUGAAAUUAUGAUAGCACUGAAGAAGAGACUUCUGACUGGUCCUCAUAGUUACAGGCUUUACAGCAUUCCUGCAGUCAUGUCUGUAAUUUGUGUGCUUAGUGACUGGCUCACAAUGACACUACAAUGUGCUCUGAUUGUCAUUUCUGACCUUCACUGCCAGCUUUUGUCAGGCAGGAUUUACCUAAUAAGUAAAGAUUAAGUCAAGAAAAAGACCAUGGCCCAGGCAAAAACCCCGAAUAUUUAGAGAAACAACCACUUAUUCAGCUUCUUGUAUGGAGCUCAAAGACAGGCACCCCAACAUUUUCCCCAGGGACCAUUUCAGCUGUGAAAUCCGGCCAGAUCUAUCCAGCUCGCGUGAACCGGUAGUGCCGAUGGCGGGAGGCUCCACCCACCAGCCAGGACGUCAUUACAUCCCAUUUUUGAUCCUCUGCACAUGCACAGAAGGCUCUGCACAUACGCAGAAGAGGCGCACAGGUGCUCCUGCGCGCUCCCGUUCCUGAACUGGUAGCAAAG